rnacentral:rRNA from 1 species
AAGCGGCAACAGCUCAAAUUUGAAAUCUGGCUCUUUCAGAGUCCGAGUUGUAAUUUGCAGAGGGCGCUUUGGCGUUGGCAGCGGUCCAAGUUCCUUGGAACAGGACGUCACAGAGGGUGAGAAUCCCGUACGUGGUCGCUGGCCUUCGCCGUGUAAAGCCCCUUCGACGAGUCGAGUUGUUUGGGAAUGCAGCUCUAAAUGGGAGGUAAAUUUCUUCUAAAGCUAAAUACUGGCCAGAGACCGAUAGCGCACAAGUAGAGUGAUCGAAAGAUGAAAAGCACUUUGGAAAGAGAGUCAAAUAGCACGUGAAAUUGUUGAAAGGGAAGCGCUUGCAGCCAGACUUGCCUGUAGUUGCUCAUCCGGGCUUUUGCCCGGUGCACUCUUCUAUAGGCAGGCCAGCAUCAGUUUGGGCGGUUGGAUAAAGGUCUCUGUCAUGUACCUCUCUUCGGGGAGGCCUUAUAGGGGAGACGACAUGCAACCAGCCCUGGACUGAGGUCCG